CCAACCUGAUCUCUCUGAGCUCCUCGGGGAGCUUGCAUUUUACGAUCGUUAGUGUUGUUGCUACUGCACCAAAGAUCAGAAACGACUCCCUAUGAGUUUGUUUUAACUUAAACUAAGAAACAAACGGCUUGUUGCGCAGCUGCUUUUAAAAGAAAUGUGUUUUCACUCGUGCCGAUGAAGCCGCAAACCCGGAAGUUGCGCAGCAGUCCGAAACAACAAUGACUUCAAUUAAAGUUGCUACAGAUUGGAGCCGAAUGGAGGGCGAGAGGCUGCGCUGCAGAACAAAAACCUCUUGGGAUUUAAAACAUUUUUCUUCACAAACGCCAUGGAUGGCACAGAGGAUGACAUGCGGUGGGAGCAAGAUGGGAUUGUCAUGAUGCAAUGCAGGAGGCACCGGAACUGUACCAAGUCAUCAAUGAUGAGUUCCACAGCGUUGUACCAAAGCGACCUGACCCAGACCCAGAGUGAUGGUCCCUGGAACCUGAAGCCACGCCACACUCUAUAAACAAUGAGCCGAGUAUUUACAAGAGGGAGACGGGGACUGAAGUUCCUCCAGUGCAUCACAGAAAAGCCAUCGCUGAUGCUAUACAGACAACCUGUUUAUGGCCCUGCGAGCUGCAUGUGCGUAUGCUCGCGUGAGGAAGUCGAGAAGGACCUUGGCCGGACUCCUCACGGAUUUGCCGAGCUCCCGAGUGUCUUAUCGCUGUCUGUGGAGAUGGGAACACGGGGAGAAGCUGCUAUUAUGGCGCAGCUAAAAUACAAGUUCCUAUGUGACAGCAGGAUGGACAGAUAAAACAAGCAUGGCUAGAGUAAAAGGUGGCCAGAUCACAUGUUAGGUGUCAGGUACAGCAGACUGUAAGAAUGUAAGAUGAGCGUAAAAUUAAUAUAUGUAAACAACAAUAAGUGAAGAAUGAGCGUUGGCAACAAAAGGCAACUCUUAUAUGGAAUAAAUUGCCAAUCGAAAUGAAGUCACUCUCAAUUUCCUCAAGUCUAGGUUAAACUCUCUUUUUUUCUCAUGCUUCUGUUUUUAAAUGUUUUAACAUGCUUUUUAUUUUGAAAAUGCACCAUGUAAAGUAUGUUGGAUUGUCUCGUUUGUGAGAAAAAUUAAUGAAAUGAGUGAAAAAAAUUAAUUUGGUCCGUUCCUUUGCCUAUAUUAUGGGAU